rnacentral:rRNA from 1 species
AGGACGAACGCUGGCGGCGUGCUUAACACAUGCAAGUCACGGGGGCCAGCAAUGGCAACCGGCGAACGGGUGCGUAACACGUGAGCAACCUGCCGAUCUGAGGGGGAUAGCCGGCCCAACGGCCGGGUAAUACCGCAUACGUUUCUUGAGGGACCUCCCUUGGGAAAGAAACCUGGGGUCACACUUGGGGCAGAUUGAGGGGCUCGCGGCCUAUCAGCUAGUUGGUGGGGUAACGGCUCACCAAGGCGACGACGGGUAGCUGGU